GAUGGAAAUGGUUGAGUGAGCACAUAUAUGCCAGUUCUGUUUAUGCAGCCAAGUGGUGUGCAGGUUGGUAAGUAUUUUGGAUUGCUUGUGGAUUCAGGGUGGUGUGACCACACCGACAUUAGUAGGUGUCUAUGUUAUCACUGCAAAGUCAAGUAUUCCUGGGGAAGGAUGGUAAUUUCACCGUGUAGAGUUUGAGCUUGAAGACUGACGGGGCAGUGGACUCAGUACUUGUGGCAUCAUCAGUACAAGGCUGGUAAAUGACAACCUGACAGCUUUAGUAACGAGAGACAAUCAGUGUUAUGUUAAAGGAGAUUUCCUGGAGCAAGUUGUGAGGAUUGCCGGCUGGAAAUCUACCUGCAUGUAACUUAAUCAUCUAGCGUCAUUUUAUUGGUUAGUGGUGCAAGACCCUGGCAUUUACAGCUGAUUGAACCCAACUUUAUUAAAGAGGGGAUAUAAACCAUGCCAGAACGGAAAGCAAACAGGCACCAGAUCUCAACGAUCAAACGCCAAGGAGCCAUCAGAAGGAAACCACCCCACCACCAUGAUGCCGACCCAGAGAACCCCAUCUUUGCCUCCAUCCACAAACUCUGGAGCAUGACCAACGGGAUCUUGCCUGAUGUGGUCGGACGUGUCCCCGAGGAACACAGGACAUUUGUGUCCCAUUUAUUUGGGGUUCUCAAGAUUUGUCUGUUGCUGCUAGCUCUACACAUGCUGUUCAGAGUUUUCUUUGGGAGUUAGCUGGAACCCCCCCCCCCCCCCCCGAAAAUCCCCCUAAAUGCCUGUAUCUAUUGCAAAUGUAAAUUUAUUUUUUACUGUACAAAGAACCAGGGUGUGAGUCUCUGCAGACAAAACAAGUCUCAAAGUUAGAUACCAUACAAACUUUUGGAGGCAAGUUGAAUGAUGGCUUUUGUACCUUUUGGUAGCCCCUUGGGUUAAGAUUUCACAGAGCUUUUAUUAGGAACAGUGUCCUCAUCACUAGAGAAGUAGAUCAAAUACCAUGAUUUCUAUAUGUGGACAAAAUAACAGUCGGGUUUCUUCGCCAGGCAGACAUAACGGCCCGUUUUGAAUCCAAGGCUUCGACUCCAGGCUAGCUUGGCCUUGCGGUUGUUUUGACAAUAUUGCUUGUGCUUUGCAUAUACGCGCUCAGGGCUUCAGACGAGAAGACAGAGCCUGCAGCCGAAUCCAAGCCGAAGCCGUGGUUUCGAAAAGGGCCAAAGAGUAUGAAAUCUGAUACUCAGAGAAAUUUCUAAUCCAUGAAAGAAAGAGCCAGGUGAAAUAAACUUGUCAACCAAAUGUUCAUGUAAUAAUAUCUCAUACCUACAGUGGAAAACAAAGUGUUCCCUGAAAGAAGUGUUGUGAUUGGCAGAUUGGAACAGAGAUGUCUUUUCUUAUGAGACACUUCAUAAUGAAGCUACUACUUGUGACUCAAAACAUUACUUGGAACUACUGUCUUACUUUGGACUUGGCUCCACAGAAUUGAGCAAUUUUCAUUGCUUUUAAUUUGUUACAAAAACUCUUGCCGUUUAACAGAACAAGAUUUCUUUGGCAAAAUCGAAGGGUUUCCUGAGCUUUGUGAACAAAAUAAAUGUCCAUAAUCGAUUAAUAAACAUUUCUCAUUAGAUAAAAAGUUAUCACUGGAGACAUCUCAUAAUGUUCACCAUUUUGAAGCAUUCAGAAAUAAUCGCAAAAGAUUAACAAUUAGGGAACCUUUUGUGUGAGAAGGUCGCAGAUUUGAUAUGCAGUUAAGAACGUUACAAUUGUGCUAAGAGCACCGCAUGAUUUCAAAUUGGGUUGUUUCACACUUGGCCUUGUACACAUCUGUUAGUUUGACUAUGUUAGAUGAUAUUCAUACAAUUUUAAAGGUAAUGUUUUCUUUUUAAACUAAUUUUAUAAUUAAGUCAUGUGGUCUUCAACUUGAGAAUGAGUACUUCUUAAGUAAUUUAAAGUUCUAAAGGCAGGUUGGUGUAGCGUCGUGUCUUGCCUCGCCUUCCACCUGGGGGACCCCGGUUCCAAUCCCACUGGGGGCACUAUGUGAAUGGGUUUUCAGUCCCUAAUUGACUGCGUGGGUUUUCCCUGGAAUAAUACUCUGGGGGUUUUCCACGCACAUCUACAACGGAAAUUUCUUCAUUAUCUUCUCGUUUGGCUCUAAUUUGGGCGUUGAGAAUAAUUAUCCAGAUCUAGAAUGGAUUAAAAGCUUGAAAGUCAUUAAAGGUAGUGUCAUACUUCCAUAAUGACUCAGAAAAGUGCCAUUGAUUGAUAGAAAGUAUUUUUACGAAUUUGAAUAUCCAAAGAUCAUCUAGAGGCGACUUUUGGAAAUUUUCAUGGAGCCUAUUUGCAUGGAUGCUGCCCUCAAUUCAGCCACAGUUUAUGGUUGAUGGCUGCUGUCACCUUGCUUAACAAGGA